AGUAGCUCAGCUGGAUAGAGCAACGGCCUUCUAAGCCGUGGGUCGGGGGUUCGAAUCCCUUCUGG
rnacentral:tRNA from 3 species